GUUUUCGCUGAGGAGAAGCAUGAAACGGACUGGUUGGCUCUCCCCAGUCCCUUUCCCCGCCCUGACCCCCUCCUGGCUCUCUGGGAUUUAGUCCCUGUGGAGUAUCCCCUCCACCCCGCCGCCGUUUCCUCGGUCCUCGGAUGGGUGGAAGUUACUGCCCUCGAGGAGGCAGCGGCAGCCGCCCUCGCCUCGCCGCCCCCGAUUCGGUGCCCGUGGGCCCGGAGAGAAGGUGCCGCCGCCACCGCCGCUCCCCCCAACCCGCUGCCCUCGGGCCGGGCUGGGUCGAGCUGCGAUGCCCUCGGACUUCAUCUCAUUGCUCAGCGCGGACCUAGACCUGAAAUCGCCCAAGUCCCUGUACUCGCGAGACCCCUCCUUCAAAGGUGUUAGGUCAGCUAUGGGCAUGGUCAAAGGGGCCAGGAGCCAAGUCAUACCCUUCUGCCAAGUCAGACUCCUCCUCGCAUGACAGAAACUGGGGCCCCUGGCAUUUCCCUGAAGAGGCAGCGGACCUUUGGUGCGAUAAACAACUCUGGAUGCAGCCACUCGCGCCCGAUCUGCACUGGGGGACCUGCCCAACUGCCACCUCACUCAGCCAACCCCCACCCCAAAAAAUCACAGAUAUGCCUCCCUCGCUCUGCCCUGGGCGUGACUUCACCGGCCCUGUCUGUGGACCGGUGAACCUCGCCUGGGAGCACAGAAUAAAGCACUCACCUUUCU